CCGGCGCACGGGUGAGUAACACGUAUGCAUCCUGGCCGUGACAGAUGGAUAACCGGGAGAAAUCCCGCCUAAUACAGCAUGACGCCGGGAAGGGACAUCCCUUUCCGGCCAAAGGGGGCGACUCCGGUCACGGAUGGGCAUGCGGCGCAUUAGGUAGUUGGUGGGGCAACGGCCCACCAAGCCGACGAUGCGUAGGGGUUCUGAGAGGAAGGUCCCCCACAUUGGAACUGAGACACGGUCCAAACUCCUACGGGAGGCAGCAG
rnacentral:rRNA from 1 species